rnacentral:lncRNA from 1 species
UAAUAAUCCAUUUCAAAAAAAAUAAAAUUGGAAUCAUUAUCAUCAACAAAAUAAUAAUCCAUUCCAAAAAAAAUAACAAUAAUAAUCAAAAUCAAAAUUAUCAUUAUUAUCAACAACAGUGGCAACAACAAAUUAUCAUCAUCGACAUCGUCAUUUUAUCGAAGCGGAAUUGUGGUCGUCGCAGACCAAACUAGAGAAGAAAUAGUGACGAAACCAAGCAGAUCAAAUGGAGACGAAACUGAGGCGAAGACGGCCCAAACGAAAACGAAACACGCAACUAGCUAUUACUUCACAAACGAAGAACUAGAGACGACAAAGAUGGUGGUUGAUUUUGGCAGCGUUGGUGAUGGAAGUAGAUGCAAUGGCAUUUAGCUGAGAGCUUCAAUGCAAGAGAGAAUAGGCUUUUGGGGAUUUUUUUUAAUUUAUUGGUAUUUAUAAUUUUCAUUUAAAGGGAGGGUAUUUUAAAAAUGAGAGACUAAUUUCCAACUCCCUGAGAAAAUUAGUCUCCCACUCCCCAUUCCCAAAUUGAGGCAAGCUCACAAUAAUAAUUUCAAUUCCUGCCUUUAUUUUGUGAAGUAAACGCUAUCAAUGAUUUCAAUUUCCCAUUUUAGAAAUUAAAUAUGUCAUUACCUUAAUGACACCAUUUGAACCCGAGUAAAUUAUAUAAUUUCUAUCCCAUUCUAGUUGAGUUUCUCUACAAUAUUAUAUGAGUUUUUAUAGCACUAAUAAUAGUGUUGUUGUGGACUCUUGGAUUUAAGUAUUUUAGUCUCAACAAUUUAUUUAAUAUAAUGAUAACAAAAAUAAGUAAUUAAAGAAUAAUAUGUAGCCUUCAGGUUGCAGGUA